CAGAAUGAUGUAAAAGACUUCCCCCCAUGAAGUCACAGCAUGUCACAUCAGCAUCCAGCUCUGCAUGAUCAGACGAUACUGAAAACAAAAUGCACGGCGAACUGGGAGCUGUGAACUGGGAAGCAGAUGUUCUUCUCAGGGACAGCCUAGAGGCAGCAAGGGGAUGUGAACUCCAAACAUUUAAAGGCACUGUUUCCCUCCCUAGUGUAAUUGGGAUGGACGGGGAAGACUGCAU